ACAUGGUGAAGUUUUAAUGAUUUAAAAACAUUUAAAAUUGCAUCCAGCCAGAGCCGGGGAGACGAUCUGUACUUGGAAAGCUUUUGUUCAUUUGAGCUUGGAUCAAAGACGGCGGCAUCUUGGUUUUUUGGCUCACUUUCUGUGAGAAGUUUUAACUUUAGGGAUGAAGUGAGAGCUAAACCAGGAAUAGAUCAUUACAAGUACGACGGUUUCCGUGUAGCAAAUGAAAACAUACAUUGAGGUAAGACAGCUUGGUUUAUUGUACUACACUGAAAUGUUUAAUUUGUACAUUUUACUUGUGGUUUUGGGUCGGCUGUAGUUUUUGGUCUUUGCUGUUGUUGACGUGUGAUGCUAACUGAGCAAGUAUUUGCUGAUUUUAGGGGAUUAAAAUGGCUGAAAGCAGAUUUUUAACGCAGUACUUUGAUUUUAUAAUACAGGCAUGUAAAUAACGAAUGCUUUGCAACAUUUUCACUUUAUGUUUUAACCUCAAACUGAAAUGUUUGUCUUGGGAUUUUAUGUGAUAGAGAAACAAAGUAACACAUAAUUGUUGUGAGGUGGAAGAAAAGUAAAAUAAUGCUGUUGUUUUUUAAUUAUUUCGUUUUUGUUAUGUAUAAAUAAUCUGAAAAGUGUGUUGUGCAUUUAGUUCAAAUGGUUUCCAGGCAUGCAUAAAUAUGGAAAAACAAAGCAAAAAUACAAAAAUAUAUUAUUUCUUUAUUUCUGUCCAUCCUUUCAUUCUAGUGUCUGCCCUUCUUUCUCGUUUGUAUUUUAACUUUUCUUCCUCUCUUCUUCCCUAUGUGCCUUCACUGAUUUUCUUUCAUGUUGUUUUGUUAGAAAAAUGUGCAGCAACCUUGUUGACAGUUUAAAGUUUUUAGCUGCCUCUUUUCUUAGUCUUGCAAAGCUCUGUCCAAUAUUUCAAUAAAAUAUAUUUCAGUUUGUGGCUUUAAAAUACAGAUUUGAAUUUCCAGUCACUUGAGGAAACUGUAUUAGUGAUUAAUAUUUCUGCUCCAGAAAUUAGAUAUUCCAUUUUUAGUUCAAUACAUUUACUUUUUAAUUGGUCACCAAAUGAUUUAUAGAAUAAA